GGUCACAUGGUUGGUGUAGUGGUUAGCACGCUUGCCUUUGCAGCAAGAGGACCUGGGUUCGAGCCCCGGUUAGAACA